UACGUAGGGACCAAGCGUUGUUCGGAUUUACUGGGCGUAAAGGGCGCGUAGGCGGCGUGUUAAGUCACUUGUGAAAUCUCUAAGCUUAACUUAGAACGGUCAAGUGAUACUGACGUGCUAGAGUGCAGAAGGGGCAACCGGAAUUCUUGGUGUAGCGGUGAAAUGCGUAGAUAUCAAGAGGAACACCUGAGGUGAAGACGGGUUGCUGGGCUGACACUGACGCUGAGGCGCGAAAGACUAGGGUAGCAAACGGG
rnacentral:rRNA from 1 species